AGUAACACGUGGAUAACCUACCUAUAAGACUGGGAUAACUUCGGGAAACCGGAGCUAAUACCGGAUAAUAUAUUGAACCGCAUGGUUCAAUAGUGAAAGACGGUCUUGCUGUCACUUAUAGAUGGAUCCGCGCCGCAUUAGCUAGUUGGUAAGGUAACGGCUUACCAAGGCAACGAUGCGUAGCCGACCUGAGAGGGUGAUCGGCCACACUGGAACUGAGACACGGUCCAG
rnacentral:rRNA from 1 species